AUGUCAAAAGAAGCUUCAGUAAUGGAAAAGAACUGUUGUGCUUUACAUCAUGAUUUUCCUCAUUUCCUUUGUAUUUCUGCACAAAUAUAGAAGGCCAGGCCUCUCCAGGUGUCCCUCCUUGUUAUUAGCUCAGCGGCAGAGCUAGUUUCUCCUUCUUAAUCAUGUGUUUCAGUCCUGCCUUGCAGUCCUGUCUCCCUGAUCCUUUCCCCUCAGCACCAAUUUUGAUGCUUCUCAGCUCUGUGUUUGCUUGUAAUGACCCAAAUACUUUUUUUUUUUUUUUCCUUUUCCUUCCAGAAAAGAGAACAAAGAAAGAAAGAAACAAAAAUCCCAACCAACCAAUCAAACACAAAAAAGCACCCAUCUGUUUUUAGAUGGCAGCCACAUUAUGUAGCUAAAUCUCCACACUGGAAGGCAGCAGCAGUAGUCGGGAGUGAGAAGGCUCAGGAAGCUCUCCAUCAAGUUCGUGAUGUGUGUUUGUGUUUGUACAGGACUGUACGCACUGCCAGGAAAAGGGGUAGUGGAGUUGUUACAUGGUGUAUCAAUCUCAGAGGUUAAUCCAGGUUGAAAUGUUCUUGUGUUCUUGGGUCCCACCAGCCUCACCAUUCAGCACCUCCUCAGCUAAGCCAGAACAUCCACGGGCAGCAAACUAUCUAUCUCAGCAGAAGGUUGAGGUUGAAGGAUUAAUCUACUUACAAAGAUGCAAGUAGAUGGAUGAAUAAGGGGGGUAAUAGAUUCUUCUUUGGAUUUAUAUUUCACCAUAAGGAGAGGACCAAACAUGCCUGACUUUUGCCACGUGAAAUCUGACAAGACUUCCUUCAGUGCUCCCACAUGGAUAGGGCAUGGGGAGAAGUUGCUUCUGGUAUUCAGUGUUUAUAAUGGCUCUCAGUCACCAUUUGCUGUGGAAUGGCUCAGUCUGAGUUUGCAGGAUGCUGGAGGGGAUGCAGCCAGCCCUGCCAGGCCCACUGCAAUGCGUGGAUUCCUCAGAGCAGUGCAAGUACUGCAACACAGUUCUGCAGCAGGUGGGAGAAACAAGACCUGAAGCCCCACAAGCUUUUAACUUGGCACCAAAGGACAAGAAGUUGAUGUUUUCUUUGUAGGGUUGCUAUUCAUACACCACAGUUUAACUUCUUCAGCAUGAAGAUGAAUUCCCUCUGCACAUACACUAUUCAAAUCUAGCGCACUAGACUGGUUUGUGUGGGCUAUGCUACCCAUAGACUGGCAUUAAUGCCACUUCCUCACCCCUCAUCAACUGCUUUAAAAUAAUCUGCAAGGUAAAAGUGAACAACUGGUUCUUUGAUACUGCUGGACAGCAGGUAGGAAGACAGCAUCUGCAAAUGGAAAAAAUGGGAGGAGUUUGUCUUGGGCUGGCAUGGAACAAGAAAAAGGGAUGUAUACUGAAGUGUGUAUGGGGAGGACUUAGGUGCUUUUCCCCCCUUUCUUCUGGCAAAGUCAAGGGUGUGGAAAUGAAACUGCAAAUGAGGAACAGGCUCUCAUGUGUCUGAGCUAGCAGGGCAUUUCCAAUAUACUUUGAUGGCUCUUGAAGAAACUGAUUAAGAGCUGAAGCAGGUUAAGAAAAACCCCAGGUUACCACUGUAAAAAUUUUCUGUCCUUAUAGGUAAAAUGGGGCCAUGCAAAGGCAGUGCCUUGAUGUUAGCACUAGCUGGGUACCUUUAUGUGUAUAUAUAUUUCAACACUGUGGAACAUGAGACAGACUUGCUGAACUCGUGGGCAUGCUUGAACUGGCCUUUGGCAUGGGGUGUGUGGGAGAGCAUGAGGUUUUGGAGACCCUCUUGGGCCUGCCAACCCUGGAGCUGUUUCUCGGCAGCUGGAGGGAUGCCAGUUUGAAGGUCUUUUAACAAGCAGUGUAGUGUCUGGCAAGUAACUUGUCUUCAAGUGAGUGUGACUAAUCAUGAAUCUUUUCAAUAACGUUGAUGAUCUAGUCUGUCCUUCCUCACUCUGCCCGACCCACUGAAAUAGGAGUAAAUUGGCCUUAUUCUGGCAAAGGCAGGAAAUGAUAAAGAGCCCCUAAAAGGUUUCCAGUGCACCAUGCCUAGGUUUUGCAGUGAGUGUAAUUAUUGGAGUUGUUGUGUGUGUGUGUUUUGAGAGCAGCUAAAUAGCUCUGAAGGUAUGAAAGAUCGCACUCUGCAACCAUCCCCUGAACCAUUUGCCUGAAUGCCUAAUUUCCCUGCUUCACUGCUACACUGCGCCCCUGCAAAGGAAAUAAGCCAAAGCCUAUUAGAGUUCUCGACUCUGUGUUAAUGGUUUGUGUUUGUCUGAUUGGGUAUAUCCUACUGCCCAAGUAGUAGAGCUGGAAUACAGUGCUUAGUUACUGGUCUUUGCUAAAGUUGACCUACUUUAUUUGAUUGAAAACUGAGAUCUUUGUUUCGUUCUUUAGUGAGUUCUCUUGGAUGGCUAAGGAAAUGAAAAUGCAAUUGAGUCUUGUGUCUAAUGCAGAAGCCAGUAAUAUUAUUUGUUCUCUGAACAGAACGGAGCAAGCACUGUUUCUCCAAAUUAAACCUUCUGAACCAUGAUGUGGAACCUUCUGACCCAUGGCAUGCAGUUGGUGAAGGCCAGUGAUUUUCACUUCAUAAUGCAAUCAUUUCACACAGUGGAAAGGCAGCACUGGUGAAAUGCAGGUCUAAUCAGAAAAGAAUGGGAGCUACACUUGUCCUUGCCUGACUUUACCGGUGAAUGUACUUUGUAUAAUGUAUGCUUGCCAUCCUGCCACAGAUCUAUUCCAGGAAAUAAUCCACGACCGUUAUGGAUGUGAAUUGCAUUCCUUUUAAAUAACAAGAAGAGACUGGAGAAAAUCUGAACUACUUUAAAAGAUGACCAAGAGAGACUUUCUAAUGGAAUGGACUUUAUUGUCCUAAUAAGGAAAAGUCAUGUUGUACAACUCUAUCAUCUCACCCUCUCAGUAAAUUAUAUAAAGAA